GACGAAUGCUGGCUGCGUGCUUAACACAUGCAAGUCGAACGGUGAAGGAGGGCUUGCCCUCCGGAUCAGUGGCGAACGGGUGAGUAACACGUGGGCAACCUGCCCCUCACUCUGGGAUAACGCCGGGAAACCGGCGCUAAUACCGGAUACGACCAGGCGCGACAUCUCGCCUGGUGGAAAGAAUUUCGGUGAGGGAUGGGCCCGCGGCCUAUCAGCUAGUUGGUGGGGUAACGGCCCACCAAGGCGACGACGGGUAGCCGGCCUGGGAGGGCGACCGGCCACACUGGGACUGAGACACGGCCCAGACUCCUACGGGAGGCAGCGGUGGGGAAUAUUGCGCAAUGGGCGAAAGCCUGACGCAGCGACGCAGCGUGAGGGACGAAGGCCUUCGGGUUGUAAACCUCUUUCAACGGGGACGAAGCGAAAGUGACGGUACCCGCAGAAGAAGCACCGGCUAACUACGUGCCAGCAGCCGCCGUAAGAC
rnacentral:rRNA from 1 species